GCGGAGCCAGAAAUUUUCGUCAAUGGGUUCAUUCACUAACUAGUUGUGAUUUUUUAUGAUGAACUAAGUCCUACUUUCGGACAUAUUGCAACAAGAUUAUAUCAGUCAAAGUCCGCAUAAUGAAUAUGAAUAUGAAUAUGAUAUUACUUAUCACACAUAUUUGUUACUUUGAAAAAAUUAAGAGUGCAUAACAUACAGAUCGGAUGAAAUUAUAGAUAAAGUAGUACCAAAAUAAACUUCAUAUUUCAGAUCCAACUUCUCAUCUUUCUGAAAACAUGGAAGAAAAUAACAAUAAGGGGAUCAUUAGAGAAUAGUGUAACUUGUAAGAAAACAAAAAUAGUAGGAAAUUAUAAUUUAACUAUGACGUUACCUUGGCAAAAUAGUUGGCAAUUUCCUUCUGAAUAUCUCCACUUACCCACUUGCAAUUUUGGAGCAUUCUCAAGAACUACCUUCAGUAUAUCAUCAUUUUGAUUUGCCAAAGUCUUUACCAACUCUUGAAAGUUCCCCUUUUUUUCCUCUUAUGUUUCGUCAUGGCCUCGGAAAGCUAAGCCUUGAUGGAACAAGUAUCUAACCGAAUCAAUUAAAGCAUUAAGCCGAAUUCGAUUUUGCUUUUUAGUAAGACCAGUUUGCUUAUCGAGAGCAACCUGAAUUGAUUGAUCUUUAUUCAUCAAAGAAUCACAUUGUUUUACUACUACAUUAUGAAAGCUAUUAUCAUUACCUUUACCCUCAUGGGUAUCCAGCCUACUUUUCUUGUUCCAACCCUUAAUUCCAAAUGCAUCACUCCCGGCUUGUCCCUCAUUAUUAUCUUUGAAAAAUUAGCAACACAAACAAAAGGCCUUAUGCACCUUGUCACUACACUCAAGCCAACAACCAUAAUCUUCAAACCAGUCUGGAUUAAAUCUCCGUGGAGUAUCUCCAAUGUCCCUGUGUGGAUAAACAAAAGUAGACGGAGGCCUGUAAGGUCCCCUCGUUAAAUAUCAGCACCUAAUCUCAUCUUGCUUUUUAGGAUUUCUUGUGUACUCCCAAAUUCUCUUCCGAUCAGCCGGAUUGUAGGGCAACUGAUCUAAAUCAAUGUCUUUGUGGAUAGAAGGCUUUGGGAGACUACUGGUAGCGACAUUGGAUGCACUUUGCUUACAUCUAAUGGGUAACCUCGAUGUCCCCGCAUCAUUAUCGAGAUCAGACUGCAGUUGAGCGCUUCUGCGCUAUUUGCCGUCGGGCGUGGGCGUCCAGGUGAGGACCGAAGCGACGGCCUAACGAAAUCUGGGCGAGACGGCGGAGAAAGAGGCGAGGCGAGUUGGAAAGCGACGAGGUGUGCGGCUGCCGUCCGUGUAUUCUUUGUACAGGCCUAAUAUGUGUACAUGACAUGCACGUAAGUAGCAAAUUUCAUUGGGUUCAUCUGAACCCAAUGGUUCAACGUUGGCUCCGCCACUG